rnacentral:lncRNA from 1 species
UGGUGGUUGGCAAGAACAAGCUCCUUAUGAAAGGCAGCAAAAAGGGAGCCAAGAAGAAGGUAUUCGAUCCAUCUUCUAAGAAAGACUGGUAUGAUGUGGAAGCACCUGCUAUGUUCAGUGUAAGAAAUAUUGGGAAAUACUAGUCAGCAGGACUCCAGAAAUGAAAAUUUGUCUCUGUUUGCUCAAGGGUCAUUUGUUUGAAGUGAACCUUGCUGAAUGAUGAAGUUGCAUUUAGAAAAGUCAAGCUUAUUAUCGAGGAUGUUCAGAGCAAAAACGCCUAACUUGCAUGGCAUGGAUCUUAGCAGUGACAAAAUGUGUUCCAUGGUGAAAAAAGGGCAAUGAUUGCAGCUCAUGUUAAUGUCAAGACUGCCAAUGUCUUGCUUACCAAAAAAAAAAAAACCAGUCAGAUACAGAAAACCUCUUACACACAUACCAACAAGUAUGCCAAGGAGAUGACUGAAAACAUGACCUGAGAGGUGCAGAAAAGUGACUUGAAAAGGUGGUCAAUAAAUUGAUUCCAGAUAGCAUUGGAAAAGACAAAGAAAAGGCUUACCAGUCUAUUUAUCCUCUGCCUGAUGUCCUGAUUAGAAAAGUGAAAAAGCGGCCCAAGUUUGAAUUGGGAAAAUUCAUUGAGCUUCAUGGUCAAGGCAGUAGUUCUGGAAAAGCUCCUGGGGACAAGACAGGUGCUAAAGUUGAAUGAGCUGAUAGAUAUGAACCACCAAUUCAAGUAUCUG